GGAUGGGAGGGCGAUCUGGUUGUGAUAUCUGGUACCCCAUUCAUCAUCAGGAGUGAUUUAGCUGAUCUGGCUGGGUAGACGGGUGUCCCCUUCCUCCCUCACUGCUCCAUGUGCAUCCCUCCUGAAGCCACGCACUCGGUCGAAGAGGACGACCACCCCCGAUAGAGGAGGGCCGUUCUUCAGUCAAGGGUACAACCUCCAAAAAACUCUCAAAACCCAGAGAAUGGGACUUGCUCAAAACCAAAUAAAGACUCAGAGAUCAGUUU
rnacentral:sRNA from 1 species